AGAGUUUGAUUAUGGCUCAGAUUGAACGCUGGCGGCAGGCCUAACACAUGCAAGUCGAACGGUAACAGGAAACAGCUUGCUGUUUCGCUGACGAGUGGCGGACGGGUGAGUAAUGUCUGGGAAACUGCCUGAUGGAGGGGGAUAACUACUGGAAACGGUAGCUAAUACCGCAUAACGUCGCAAGACCAAAGAGGGGGACCUUCGGGCCUCUUGCCAUCGGAUGUGCCCAGAUGGGAUUAGCUAGUAGGUGGGGUAACGGCUCACCUAGGCGACGAUCCCUAGCUGGUCUGAGAGGAUGACCAGCCACACUGGAACUGAGACACGGUCCAGACUCCUACGGGAGGCAGCGGUGGGGAAUAUUGGACAAUGGGCGCAAGCCUGAUCCAGCCAUGCCGCGUGAGUGACGAAGGCCUUAGGGUUGUAAAGCUCUUUUGGCGGGGACGAUAAUGACGGUACCCGCAGAAUAAGCCCCGGCUAACUUCGUGCCAGCAGCCGCGGUAAU
rnacentral:rRNA from 1 species